UAAGGCGCUCUGACUAUGAGGCUGAUU
rnacentral:piRNA from 1 species